UUCGAGUCGUUGAUUUCACACUGCCGAGAAAAGCCUCUAGAUAGAAAAUAGGUGCCCGUACCGCAAACCGACACAGGUAGUCAAGAUGAGAAUUCUAAGGUGAGCGAGCGAACUCUCGUUAAGGAACUCGGCAAAAUGACCCCGUAACUUCGGGAGAAGGGGUGCUCUUUAGGGUUAACGCCCAGAAGAGCCGCAGUGAAUAGGCCCAAGCGACUGUUUAUCAAAAACACAGGUCUCUGCUAAACCGUAAGGUGAUGUAUAGGGGCUGACGCCUGCCCGGUGCUGGAAGGUUAAGAGGAGUGGUUAGCUUCUGCGAAGCUACGAAUCGAAGCCCCAGUAAACGGCGGCCGUAACUAUAACGGUCCUAAGGUAGCGAAAUUCCUUGUCGGGUAAGUUCCGACCCGCACGAAAGGCGUAACGAUUUGGGCACUGUCUCAACGAGAGACUCGGUGAAAUCAUAGUACCUGUGAAGAUGCAGGUUACCCGCGACAGGACGGAAAGACCCCGUGGAGCUUUACUGUAGCCUGAUAUUGAAAUUCGGCACAGCUUGUACAGGAUAGGUAGGAGCCUUUGAAACGUGAGCGCUAGCUUACGUGGAGGCGCUGGUGGGAUACUACCCUAGCUGUGUUGGCUUUCUAACCCGCACCACUUAUCGUGGUGGGAGACAGUGUCAGGCGGGCAGUUUGACUGGGGCGGUCGCCUCCUAAAAGGUAACGGAGGCGCUCAAAGGUUCCCUCAGAAUGGUUGGAAAUCAUUCAUAGAGUGUAAAGGCAUAAGGGAGCUUGACUGCGAGACCUACAAGUCGAGCAGGGUCGAAAGACGGACUUAGUGAUCCGGUGGUUCCGCAUGGAAGGGCCAUCGCUCAACGGAUAAAAGCUACCCCGGGGAUAACAGGCUUAUCUCCCCCAAGAGUUCACAUCGACGGGGAGGUUUGGCACCUCGAUGUCGGCUCAUCGCAUCCUGGGGCUGUAGUCGGUCCCAAGGGUUGGGCUGUUCGCCCAUUAAAGCGGUACGCGAGCUGGGUUCAGAACGUCGUGAGACAGUUCGGUCCCUAUCCGUCGUGGGCGUAGGAAAUUUGAGAGGAGCUGUCCUUAGUACGAGAGGACCGGGAUGGACAUACCUCUGGUGUACCAGUUGUCGUGCCAACGGCAUAGCUGGGUAGCUAUGUGUGGACGGGAUAAGUGCUGAAAGCAUCUAAGCAUGAAGCCCCCCUCAAGAUGAGAUUUCCCAACUUCGGUUAUAAGAUCCCUCAAAGAUGAUGAGGUUAAUAGGUUCGAGGUGGAAGCAUGGUGACAUGUGGAGCUGACGAAUACUAAUCGAUCGAAGACUUAAUC
rnacentral:rRNA from 1 species